GUGAACAUGAGUUAACACAGGAAUAUAGUCUGUAUAUUAUUAUAUUAAAAAAAAACAAGUCCCAAAUGUUUCUGCAGAUGCAAAAUGAGCCCAGCAGAAUAAGCUUUUCCCUCUACUGACCACAGUGGCUGCUUGAUUCAAAAACGGAGCGGCCUUCUUCUCAGUAACACAGCACAAACUGUUCAUUUAGAGCAGAACAUAGAGUGGCUGACUUUUGACUGUUUGACAGAUGUGAAGUGGUUGACCCUUGGCAAUAUCCAGAAUUUGGCAGGUGCCUGGCAAUCGAGAUGGUAGAUGCUGCAAACAUGUUAAUGAUAAAACUCAAUUUACCUUGAGGAGAACUCAUCCUCAGACUCCGGCUCAGUUAAGCCGAUGCCGAUAUCAGACUCUGUGGCUCCGGGUUUCCUGGAGGCCAUCUGCUUGACUGGCUGUCUCUGGACAGUGGAGGUGAGGGCUGGGGUGUGCAGGCUGCUCUGGAUACUGCUGUUGUCCAACCAGGAUCCUCUGACUGUGCUGGACAUUGAACCUGGAAGAGACAGAAGUUGGGUGCGGUCCUGUUGCAGCAGCUUGAAACUGAACUCGCUGAGGAUCUCCAUGAAGGCCACAUUUGGAUGCUGCUCUUCUCCCUCCUGGCCACCAGUGGUUUACGGACACGAUGGAGAUCGACGCCAAAGCUCAUGGCAAGCCUCUUGGCCAAUUCUCUAAUCUCACCGAGAUCCUGCCUGCUGUGGUCCUCCGUAAGCAUCUCCGAGAACAGCUGAACAGACGCAAACAUGACUUUACAUAAACACGUUACACAAAGGGCCCGUCAUUCAAACAGUUCUAUAGAUAUGGACAGAUGGUUCCACUGGUCCGCUUCGGUUGAAAAAAAUACUUGUACUGGUUUUAAUAGGCCUGUUGGACCAAAUAAGAGAGGCUUUCCUACAUGAAGCACAAUAACUUAUAAUUGAUAUAUGACUCUGGGAUUUAUGUUUUAUAUCAUUUUUGGUUGGACAUCUGUCAGGCACAAUACAAAUGUUAUAUAGUAAUAAAUAGGUAAUAAAUACAUAGAUUCCCAUUUACAAGCAAUUUAUGCACAUGAUAUUGUCAUAAUGUAGUGAUAUAUGCUUGUAUGUAGAUAUUUUAGCAUGUAGAAAUCAAGCUAAACAACUUAAAAACAGUACAAUUGCCUUUUUAGAGGUAAAGUAUUUAAGAUUUAACUUUAAGAUCCAGCCACAUGAUGAACAUGUCAGUUCCAGGUAACGGUUUCAGAGCACACUCAUGAGCGUGAACAUUGCAAUGAUGUUUUAAUAAACAGAUUAAAAGUUUGAACUAAGAUUCAAGAGGAACCAACAUAUAGAAGUACUAUUUUCAAUAUAAUACAGUAUUAGUAUUAUCAUCAUGAUUAAUGACAAAUCCACUGGUAACUGUAUCUCAUGUAGUCAUUAAAAGUCCAUUGCCAUGACACAACAUAAUAAAAGUUGUCAGGAAUAAUUAGAGGCUGGUUAUUGGUGUGAGUGCAAACCUGCUGCAGACUCAGACAGACAGUCUUAGCGCUCUGAACCGGACUGAUGAGCUUGCUCUUGCUUACAGUCUCUUUAAUGAUGUCGCCAAAGUCUUUAAAGUACUGGAGAAGAAAAAGAAAAAAGUGAAGUUAUGAUCAUUAGUCUAUUUAAUUAAUGGCAGUGUCUAAAUAUGUAAAAUGAAUCCACUCCUUUCUAGUCAUCAGUGCUUCUUUUAACCACUGUUCCCUCUGACUCAUUCUUGGCUCCUCGCUGGUUCUAAAACUGAUUUUCUCACCAUCCUCCACUCCAUCCUCCCCAAUUUAUCUUUUAAUCAAUUUAACACAUUUUGCUCACAUGUAUAACCACACAGGUGACACAGCUAGCAAUGCAUAUGGAUAUGUGUGCUUAUAAUACACAUAUAACAUGCUAGGCUAGCUAAUAAAACUUAAAAGGUAUUACUCCAGCUCAACCUUGCUGUAGUGCUUGAAGAAGAACCAGCUUACAGUAGCCAGCCAGCUGGUUGCGCUUCUUCUGGAGAACAGUUAUCUUCAUCUCCUCCUCACCCUCAGCUAGAGAGGAGAGAGGGUAGAGGACAAGACGGGCAGCAACCAAUUGAAAACGUUGAGGUGUCGAUAAGAUACAAGUAAAAACAGAACGUGUGUUAUUUGGCUGCAUAUUGUGAAAUACAGGGGGAAAAAAAGAUUUGUUAUAGCAGCAGAUUCCCAAACAAGACAUCAAAAACUAUGCUUGAAUGUGGUAGGGUCCUCUGAGAGAGCUUUGGUGGUGUUAAAAUUGAGCAGUGAGUUUCUCAAACACUCACAUCCGUAAAACAAAAAAACUAAAUUGUGAACAUCGUCAUUUAGUAGUGUAUAAAACGAAGAGGACGGACUGUAACAGGACUCACUGUGUUGACUGAAAGUGCUCUGGAAAGUACCACCAUUAAUCCAAAACUUUAUUAAGAGAGGGUACCAUUGAGCUCAGUAUCUUCACUGUCAGAGAGAGAGCAGACGGCAGGUGGACCAGCGUUUGGAGGGCGGUUCCAGAGUGGGCUGAACUUGCACUGUACAAGAGCAGCAGGUCACAGAGCAGCUCAAAUGCCUGAGGAUGGAAGAAUUACCAUCUGUCAAUCAAAAUUCAGAUAUGUAACCAUUUACACAUAUU
rnacentral:lncRNA from 15 species